AAGAAAUCACAUAAACAAUAUAAUAUGAUAGCCCAUCAUAGAGAAGUAACUCAUUAAUUGAGAGAGAAAUAGAAUUAGACAACAAAAGAAAAAUAGAACAAAAGAAUAAGAAUUACAAGGAAAACGUUAAUAGAGGCAGUGAUUCCAAAUGUAGCAACUAUUUCGCUAAAAAAUAGACCACACAGAUGAUAAUAUCAACCACAAGAUGAUUUCAUAAAGUCAUUUAAUUAGCAACAAAGUAGGCAUAUAUAAUUUAUAUAAGUAAAAAAAAGAAUAAAAUGCAAGGAGUAAGAGAAGAGAAUUAGACCUUUCUUGGGCAAAAAAUCCUCUUGAUUUUGAUUAAGCAAAGAAAAAAAACUUAUACAGCAAGGAUGUCUAUCCGAGUUGAACCAUGAAAUAAAAUCUAACAAUAGCACUCCAUUGUAUUUUGAAUCUGGAGCGAGAAAAAUAAAGCAUAACGCUCGAACGAUACCACCACCAAUAAUAACUUCGAAUGAGAUUUAAAUCUGGAGAGCCAAUUCAAUCCAUUUUGAUUUGUAACUCAUUUAUGAUUUUAAGCUUAGAUAAUAAAGGAAGAUGGUGAUGAUGGAGCUUUAAUAACAGAAAGAGAAUUGUGUUGUGUGUGUUCGAUGGCAGAAGAAUGGAGAGGGUCGAAGAAGAUGAUGACCAGGGGGUGGGUUCGUUCUUUUGAGAAUUGCCG
rnacentral:lncRNA from 1 species